UUAUCCAGACGCAAAAGGAAGACCCCGAGAAAAUUGUGCAUGAUUUGGCGAAGUCAUCAUGUGUUGUUCAAAUAGUACAUAGAUGCGCAACAUGUAUUGAAGGUUUUUGCAGAUGUUUUUCCAGAUUACUUCAGACAAGUUUUGGCUGGCUGAAAAGAGGAAGAAAUACGAAAGGAAUAAAAGGCACUUAGCUCUGUGGAUAGUUUUAUGAUAGACACGGACACGAUACGCUCUCAAGCAAAAACAUUUCUAUACAUUUUUGUGCAACAAACUUGCCUUUCAAUCUGCAAACUGGCAUUCAUACUGGAUAUAACAUCUGAGGAAAUGUCUUCUACAUGUAGAUGACCUCACCUACAUACAUGUAUUUAUCACACACCCGUGCCGAUUUUGUGACUCCGUAAAUAUGGUAUUGCACGGCCGUGCAUAUAUUUUGACGUGACGUCAUUAGAGUUAUACAAACAUAGCGUAAAGACGCGCUAAACGUAAGCGUUAUACUAUAGGUGCGUCAUUGAAAAAUUACUCUUAUUUCAUUUAAAACGGUGUUUAAUUUAGGUAUUUGAUAAAUAGAAUAUUAAAUUCGUGUAAGUUCAUUUAUUACUGAAUUUAUUGAACUCGUUGAAUAAAAUAAUAUUAUGCUCGCCAAAGGCUCGCAUAAUAUAAUUUUAUUCAACUCGUGCAAUAAAUUCAGUAUUGAACUUACACUCAUUUAAUAUCCUCUAUAUAUGGAAUCUUCUGGAAACAAAUUUUAAGUGAUACAGAUAAGUCAUAGCUUUUUGUCCACCAAGCCAGAUAUGACAAGGAUUGUAGCAAAAAAACUGUUAUAAUAUUUUAAAGCAUAUAACCAAUACAGUAAACAUAAUGGUUAGUUUAAAAUUGUAUUAACAUUCUAAUCCAAAAGUAAUUAUAACAUACUUCUCAGUUA